UACGAAGGGGGCUAGCGUUGUUCGGAUUUACUGGGCGUAAAGCGCGUGUAGGCGGGUCGUUAAGUUGGGGGUGAAAUCCCGAGGCUCAACCUCGGAACUGCCUUCAAAACUGGCGACCUGGAGCAAAGAAGAGGCGAGUGGAAUUCCCGGUGUAGAGGUGAAAUUCGUAGAUAUCGGGAGGAACACCGGUGGCGAAGGCGGCGACCUGGGUCGAGACUGACGCUGAGGCGCGAAAGCGUGGGGAGCAAACAGG
rnacentral:rRNA from 1 species